rnacentral:tRNA from 1 species
AAUGAUAUAACUUAAUUAGGUAAAGUGAAUAAUUGCAAAUUAUUUUAUUUCAGUUCAAAUCUGAAUAUCAUU